rfam:Neurospora tetrasperma FGSC 2509 unplaced genomic scaffold NETTE2scaffold_2, whole genome shotgun sequence.
ACCUUACUGGUGUAUCGGUUAACAUGGCGGAUUCUCAAUCUUGUGAUCAGGUUUCCGCAGCGCAGGGUUCAACUCCCUGGUAGGGUA